AACAAGGCGUACCUGCGGACCUGCGGAGGGAUCAUUACCAGAGAGCCUUUUGGCACUCCAACCCAUUGUGAACAUACCUAUCGUUCCCUCGGCGGGCUCAGCGCGCGGGGCCUCCGGGCUUCCGGGCGUCCGCCGGGGACAACCAAACCCUGAUUUACUACGUGUAUCUCUGAGGGGCGAAAGCCCGAAAACAAAAUAAAUCAAAACUUUUAACAACGGAUCUCAGAUCGGAAGAGCACA
rnacentral:misc_RNA from 1 species